UCCUACGGGGGGGCAGCAGUAGGGAAUCUUCCGCAAUGGGCGAAAGCCUGACGGAGCAACGCCGCGUGAGUGAUGAAGGUCUUCGGAUCGUAAAACUCUGUUAUUAGGGAAGAACAUAUGUGUAAGUAACUGUGCACAUCUUGACGGUACCUAAUCAGAAAGCCACGGCUAACUACGUGCCAGCAGCCGCGGUAAUACGUAGGUGGCAAGCGUUAUCCGGAAUUAUUGGGCGUAAAGCGCGCGUAGGCGGUUUUUUAAGUCUGAUGUGAAAGCCCACGGCUCAACCGUGGAGGGUCAUUGGAAACUGGAAAACUUGAGUGCAGAAGAGGAAAGUGGAAUUCCAUGUGUAGCGGUGAAAUGCGCAGAGAUAUGGAGGAACACCAGUGGCGGAAGGCGAC
rnacentral:rRNA from 1 species